GCCAUCAAGCCUCUAUCUUCACAUAAGCCUGAGCAACUGGACUUGAACGCUUCCUGCACGUCCCUGUCCAUUAACUGCUUGCUGAGGCAGGAUGAUGGGAAAGAUGACCUGGGAGCCGAGCUGAGUGUGUUGCAGGACCUCACUACAACCCUUGCUGAACUUACUCGAUGUCGGGAUGUCAGCCGCACUCACCUUCAGUCUCUUGAAACAUCCUCUGCUGACCACAGCUGCUCAUUGGCUCGUACUUGCUUUUGUCUUCCGCCUGCAAAGACACACACAAACAUCUCGCUGAGAGGCCAACAGUGCACACAAAGAGGGAUGCCUUGAUGGGACCAUCAUCAUCCUGGGAAUGACGGAGGCUCGUACAUAAAAGUGGUUAUCUCGAACAGGCAUCAGGUGAUUACACUGGUGUAAAAAUAUGUUCUUUAUCAAAGCACUCCAGGGGUAACAUUCAGUAGCAUCCAGUCCUGUGAUGUAAGUCCUGUUAUCUACGUGUAAGAGCAUUUUGUAUAAAUA